rnacentral:rRNA from 1 species
AGUGAACGCUGGCGGUAUGCCUAACACAUGCAAGUCGAACGGCAGCACAGUAAUAGCUUGCUCUUACGGUUGGCGAGUGGCGGACGGGUGAGGAAUACAUCGGAAUCUACUUUUUCGUGGGGGAUAACGUAUGGAAACUUACGCUAAUACCGCAUACGACCUACGGGUGAAAGCAGGGGAUCUUCGGACCUUGCGCGAUUGAAUGAGCCGAUGUCGGAUUAGCUAGUUGGCGGGGUACAGGCCCACCAAGGCGACGAUCCGUAGCUGGUCUGAGAGGAUGAUCGGCCACACUGGAACUGAGACACGGUCCAGACUCCUACGGGAGGCAGCAGUGGGGAAUAUUGGACAAUGGGCGCAAGCCUGAUCCAGCCAUACCGCGUGGGUGAAGAAGGCCUUCGGGUUGUAAAGCCCUUUUGUUGGGAAAGAAAAGCAGCAGGUUAAUACAACGCUGUUCUGACGGUACCCAAAGAAUAAGCACCGGCUAACUUCGUG